rnacentral:lncRNA from 1 species
CUUAAGAAUUGUACUUCCCCCUUUAAUUUUUACUUUCAUUCACUGAACUUCCUUAAAUCACGUACUUCGAUUUAUGGAGCAGCACUCUACUUUUGUAAUUGUCGUGUAAGGAGCAAUAAAUGUUUCUUUGAAUGCUUAUGAGAAUAAAUAAUGAGGAGAACUGAUUUCUCUGAAUAUCAUUUGUUUAGGGGGAUGGUGAAUAUCGUGACGUUUCACAGCAUACUCCACAUUCUACUUUCAUAUAUCCAUCACCAACGAAUUUCAUUCUCAAUUCUCAACAUGAAGUCAUGCCGGCACAUAGUAUAUCCCACAUUCCAUUCACACAGCAGAUGUCGUAUUACUACCAACAUUUACCUGAUGAAGUGGCACGGGAUAGUGAUUGUUGACAGAUGACUAUGUCCAAUUCAGCCAACUUGCUUCAUUUAUAAUUAUUGUUGGAAGCAAUUUUUUUUUGUUUGCCUAAAUGCAGAAAUGGAUGCAAGUUGUAUAAUCUUUGUACUCACCUUUUUUUGGGGAUAUGUUAAUGCCAUUAACUGUGAGUUCCAUCAGUUGUAUAAGAGUUGCCAUUAAUUUUUGUUUUUGUAAAUUUGAUUGUUUAUGGAGUUCCAUUUUCAUGGAGGCAAUGGACAAAAU